rnacentral:rRNA from 1 species
GCAGAAGAAUAAGCGGAGGAAAAGAAACCAACAGGGAUUGCCUUAGUAACGGCGAGUGAAGCGGCAACAGCUCAAAUUUGAAAGCUGGCCCUUUUAGGGUCCGCAUUGUAAUUUGUAGAGGAUGAUUCGGCGAGGGCUCCUGCCUAAGUCCCCUGGAACGGGGCGUCAUAGAGGGUGAGAAUCCCGUAUGCGGUAGGUUGCCUUAGCCAUGUGAAUCUCCUUCGACGAGUCGAGUUGUUUGGGAAUGCAGCUCUAAAUGGGAGGUAAAUUUCUUCUAAAGCUAAAUACCGGCCAGAGACCGAUAGCGCACAAGUAGAGUGAUCGAAAGAUGAAAAGCACUUUGGAAAGAGAGUUAAAAAGUACGUGAAAUUGUUGAAAGGGAAGCGCUUGCAACCAGACUUGUCCGCAGUUGCUCAGCCGGUCUCCUGACCGGCGUACUCUUCUGCGGCCAGGCCAGCAUCAGUUCGGGCGGUCGGAUAAAGGCCUCGGGAAUGUGGCUCCUCUCGGGGAGUGUUAUAGCCCGGGGUGCAAUGCGGCCAGCCUGGACUGAGGAACUCGCUUCGGCAAGGAUGCUGGCGUAAUGGUUGUAAGCGGCCCGUCUUGAAACACGGACCAAGGAGUCUAACAUCUAUGCGAGUGUUCGGGUGUCAAACCCGUACGCGUAAUGAAAGUGAACGGAGGUGGGAACCCGCAAGGGUGCACCAUCGGCCGAUCCUGAUGUCUUCGGAUGGAUUUGAGCAAGAGCAUAGCUGUUGGGACCCGAAAGAUGGUGAACUAUGCCUGAAUAGGGUGAAGCCAGAGGAAACUCUGGUGGAGGCUCGCAGCGGUUCUGACGUGCAAAUCGAUCGUCAAAUUGGGUAUAGGGCGAAAGACUAAUCGAACCAUCUAGUAGCUGGUUCCUGCCGAAG